GGUUGUGGCUCAGUGGUAGAGUGCUUGCCUAGCACCCAUGAGGCCACUGGGUUCAAUCCCCAGAACCA
rnacentral:tRNA from 1 species